UGCCAGCCGCCGCGGUAAUACGAAAGGGGCUAGCGUUGUUCGGAUUUACUGGGCGUAAAGCGCACGUAGGCGGAUUAGUAAGUUAGGGGUGAAAUCCCGGGGCUCAACCCCGGAACUGCCUCUAAUACUGCUAGUCUUGAGUUCGAGAGAGGUGAGUGGAAUUCCGAGUGUAGAGGUGAAAUUCGUAGAUAUUCGGAGGAACACCAGUGGCGAAGGCGGCUCACUGGCUCGAUACUGACGCUGAGGUGCGAAAGCGUGGGGAGCAAACAGGAUUAGAUA
rnacentral:rRNA from 1 species